AUUUUGACUUGGAGAUAUCUAAUUUAUCAGAAAUUGACUUUGUGGUUCCCGAGAAGACAAAGGAGUUUCAAAGGCAUUGGUCAAAGUUCAUAUGUAGAGAAUUGAAUAAAGAAGAUGAACUGAGGAGCAACAUUGGAACAUCGACAGUGACAUUGUUUCAAGUGCGUGGGCCAAGUAAAGCAAGGAGAAAGCAUGGAUAUUCAUUAGAUGGAGUUGCUAUUGGAGCAUUCCAAACUUGCAAGAUCAAGCGAGCACACUUUGAUCCAGGUGAAGGUGAUUGGGUUUACAAUCGAAGGCGACGAGUUCGAGUUCAAAGGAGGUCCAAAUUACAUUCGAGAUGUGAUGGGCCAUUUAAUGUUAUUGCCAUGAUCGGAGAUAAAUGCUACAAUUUGGAUGAUCAAGGUUCAAAUUCGAGAUCGAAUCUUUUCGAAGAGAGAGGGAAUGAUGUGAUCCGCAUAAGGCAAUUUCGGGACAGAAUUUUCAGAAAUUUUGCAUGUUUCCUAUUUUGAUUAGAAGUCUAAUCUUUUGCCAUAUUUAAGUUAUUUUAGAUGUUUUCCAAUUUUAAUUAGAUUCUAGGAUUUUAGUAUAAAUAGGGAUUAUAUUUUUCAUUGUAUUCAGAACUUUUGAUAUGAUGAAUUUAAAUAGAGAAUUUUCUCUCUAG
rnacentral:lncRNA from 1 species